GUGGGGAAUAUUGGGCAAUGGGCGAAAGCCUGACCCAGCAACGCCGCGUGAAGGAAGAAGGCCUUCGGGUUGUAAACUUCUUUUAUGAGGGACGAAGGACGUGACGGUACCUCAUGAAUAAGCCACGGCUAACUACGUGCCAGCAGCCGCGGUAAUACGUAGGUGGCAAGCGUUGUCCGGAUUUACUGGGUGUAAAGGGCGCGUAGGCGGACUGGCAAGUCAGAUGUGAAAUCCAUGGGCUCAACUCAUGAACUGCAUUUGAAACUGUUGGUCUUGAGUGUCGGAGAGGCAAGCGGAAUUCCUAGUGUAGCGGUGAAAUGCGUAGAUAUUAGGAGGAACACCAGUGGCGAAGGCGGCUUGCUGGACGAUAACUGACGCUGAGGCGCGAAAGCGUGGGGAGCAAACAGGAUUAGAUACCCGAGUAGUCC
rnacentral:rRNA from 1 species